GCACACUUUGGAAAUACACAUACUAAAAUUGGAAUGGUACAGAGGAGAUUAGCAUAUCCUCUGUGCAUGCAUACACGUGUUUGCAACACAUUGCAUAUUUUU